AACGAACGCUGGCGGCAUGCCUAACACAUGCAAGUCGAACGAGACCUUCGGGUCUAGUGGCGCACGGGUGCGUAACGCGUGGGAACCUGCCCUUAGGUUCGGAAUAACUCCCCGAAAGGGGUGCUAAUACCGGAUAAUGUCUUCGGACCAAAGAUUUAUCGCCUUUGGAUGGGCCCGCGUUGGAUUAGCUAGUUGGUAGGGUAAAAGCCUACCAAGGCGACGAUCCAUAGCUGGUCUGAGAGGAUGAUCAGCCACACUGGGACUGAGACACGGCCCAGACUCCUACGGGAGGCAGCAGUGGGGAACAUUGGACAAUGGGCGAAAGCCUGAUCCAGCAAUGCCGCGUGAGUGAUGAGGGCCUUAGGGUUGUAAAGCUCUUUUACCCGGGAUGAUAAUGACAGUACCGGGAGAAUAAGCUCCGGCUAACUCCGUG
rnacentral:rRNA from 1 species